rnacentral:rRNA from 1 species
UACGUAGGGUGCGAGCGUUAAUCGGAAUUACUGGGCGUAAAGCGUGCGUAGGUGGUAAUUUAAGUGAGAUGUGAAAUACCUGGGCUCAACCUAGGUGCUGCAUCUCAUACUGAGUUGCUAGAGUAGGGUAGAGGGGAGUGGAAUUUCCGGUGUAGCGGUGAAAUGCGUAGAUAUCGGAAAGAACACCAGUGGCGAAGGCGCUCCCUGGACCCAUACUGACACUGAGGCACGAAAGCGUGGGGAGCAAACAGG